UACAGAGGGUGCGAGCGUUAAUCGGAAUUACUGGGCGUAAAGCGUGCGUAGACGGUUAUUUAAGUCGGAUGUGAAAGCCCCGGGCUCAACCUGGGAAUUGCAUUCGAGACUGAAUAGCUAGGGUACGGUAGAGGGAAGUGGAACUUCCGGUGUAGCGGUGAAAUGCGCAGAUAUCAGGAGGAACACCAAUUGCGAAGGCAGCUCGCUGGGACGUUACUGACGCUGAGACGCGAAAGCGUGGGGAGCAAACAGG
rnacentral:rRNA from 1 species